GACCGUGGUAAUUUGAGCCGGUCGGCUUGCGGCCACGUUAAACAACCAGCUAAAAUGGCCGGGAAG
rnacentral:ncRNA from 1 species